GCUUGAGGUUCUAUAUUGAUUAACCAUAAACUAUUGUUUGCAUAGAUAACUAGAGCAAUCAUGGUGUAGCAUUAAUUCACACUUUAAAUUGAUUCUCAACAUAUAUAUAAUCCUUGUUCCAUAUCACAAUUCUACGAUGCGGUGCUAUGAUCAAGGUGCUCAUAUCUGAGAGGGACUGACGGCGAAUCGAUCCGAUUUAACCUAGCAAGGUGGACCUAACUAACACGGCACGUAUUUGCCCCGUCGGACCUAACUAAAAUGUCUUUGGGCUUCUACCCUCAUAUAUACACUUUUUUCCAUCGUGAUUGUUUUUGCGUGGUUAGUGUGCUAAAAAAUUGGUUCAGUUGAAUAUUAUUCCUAUCAUUGAUAAUUCCUAACCUCCAUUUACUAAAAGGUUGGUUUGUUCAUUUCUCUGAAAGAUCAAGCCACUGAAAAGCAGUUAAUUGCACUGAAAAAUAUGAAACUGAUGCUAAGCUUCCCUCACUGUUACUAUCCACUAUCCUGUGAAAAUUAGUGUCCUUUUCCACUUAAAUUUAUUGUUCAUGCUUGUAUCGUUAAAAGCAACUUGAAAGCUUUGUCUGAACAAAUAUAUGAACGUGCCGCUAUUUUAUCACUCGAUGAUGAUAUUACCUAAAACAAAAUGUUAGUGAUCAUUAUUGGAAUUUAUUGUGAUGAUGAUUAUAGGGCGUGCAAAGCGCGAUCAUCUAAAUUGAUUUUUCCCUAAAGCAGAGAUGAUGGUGUUUGAGCUUCUUCUCAAGAGCCACAUAGUCGUUUUCUUCGUUGUGGAAGAUGUCUUGCUUCCGUUGGGGCUAGCUAUUCUUGGUUGGGAUAGGAUUAGAGCUGGGAAUAUUGUUCUGUAGAUCUAGAUGUAUAAGAAGAUUAUUAUUGUUUAGAUCUUGAUUGGUGAGAUAAUUUUAAAAUGUUGCCCACCACUAACAAAAACGGGGCUUCCAUACAUGUUUUUUUAAUAUAAUGACACGAAGCUCUCCUGCAUGUUUGAGAAAAAGACCAUGUCUUAAAUUGUUUUUAUUGAAUUAUUUAGUCUGGUUGAUACAAUUUGCAGCGGUGUUUUGUGUUUAAUAUUUUUUUUGAAUGAAAACUUGGUAGUUUAGGAACCUUUUAACCUUUAAUUUCAUUUGGUUAGUUCGUUCUUACAGUAGAUUCGUCUCCUUUGAUGAUUCCUAUAGUUCAAAGCAUGAUAGUAUCAACUUGAGAUGAUUGCAAAAUAAAAAAUAUGAUAAGAAUUGGACUCUCUAGGCUAACUGUUCUGAAAACAAUUGGUUUCUAAUUACCCAUAGUAUUUUUCUAGCUUAAAAAAGAGAAAAGAAUGGCAGCUGCAUCAAGCAAAACCCAUGGAGACGAGCCAGGCCCCGUAAUGUAAUUUAAUUAUUUAGAACUAACAUAAUUAGAAAGUCCAAGUCUGAUCUUACUAUAUGUAUUCUAUAAAUAUAAAACAUUUAUUCAAUAUUUUUUAACACGUGCAUACCGCACGUGCACUUUACUGUAGGAUUAACCUUGGUAGAUUUGACAUGCUCCGUUUUAUAACACGUGCGUGUCCGUGACGGCGGCCUAGGCUGCUUCACGUUGUUGAUUUGUUUGUAUUAGUAUACUGCUGUGAGCACAAGAUGACCGAGUUGAAUGGUGUUUUUUGGAGAAAAUUAUGCUGAAAAUGGGCUUUGAUCGUAGAUGGGUGAAAAUUAUUAUGGCUUGUGUUACAUCUGUUCAAUAUAGUGUAAGAUUCAACUCAAUGGAGACAGAAGUUUUUAAGCCAACAAGGGGACUUAGACAAGGGGAUCCCGUCUCCCUACCUGUUCUUGCUUGUUGCAGAAGGACUAUCAAGCAUGUUGAAAGGAGCAGAAGAUAGAGGUGAUUUAGAGGGAAUCAAAGUAUGCCGAGAACUUGAGAGCCAUUCUAGACAAGUACUGCGAAAACUCGGGCCAGAUGAUAAGUGGGGCAAAAUCAAGUAUUUUUUUCAGUGAAAAUACAGAAGUUGUGGUGAAGGGAGAGAGUUCGAGCUAGAACAAAUGGAUGGAAGGAGAAGCAGCUAAGCAUGGGAGGAAAGGAGGUGCUUCUCAAGUCCAUUGCCCAAGCCGUUCCAGUAUAUGCGAUGAUGGUGUUCAAAAUCCCGAAAAACAUUUGUAAAGGGAUCUCCGAUGCCAUCUCACAAUUCUGGUGGGGUGAUGACAAUGAACACAAGAAAAUUCAUUGGAAAGCAUGGUGGAAAUUAUGCAUCCCAAAAGGAAGAGGUGGUAUGGGUUUCAGAGACUUACACAGCUUUAAUAUUGCAAUGCUUGCAAAACAAGUAUGGAGGCUGUUAAGUGGCCCUGACUCUCUCUGUGCUAGGGUGAUGAGAGCAAGGUAUUAUCCGGAUGAAAAACUCUUGAAUGCAAAGUUGAGAAGUGGGAGCUCCAAUACUUGGCAAAGUGUCCUAGCUCGACUAGAAUGUUUCAAACG